GAUUUGCAGCAGCUCUUGCACAGCAGAAGGUGUGGGUGAUGAAUGUUAUUCCUGUACAUGCACCAAACACCCUUCCCGUAGUCUUUGAAAGAGGACUUAUUGGCGUGUACCACGAUUGGUGUGAGGCUUUUGGUACUUAUCCAAGAUCAUACGACCUUCUACAUGCAGAUCAUCUCUUCUCAAGGCUUAAGAACAGGUGCAAGCAUCCCAUUGUGAUUGUGGUUGAGAUGGACCGUAUAUUACGGCCUGGUGGCUGGGGAAUCAUACGUGACAAGGUCGAAAUACUUGAUCCAUUAGAGAAAAUAUUGAGAAGCUUGCACUGGGAGAUACGAAUGACUUUUGCCAAAGAUAAGGAAGGCAUCCUUUGUGCUCAGAAGACAAUGUGGAGACCUUGAUGAAUGCUUAGAAGCAAGUCAUCUGAUUAUUUGGACUACAGAUUCCAGUCAUUUUCCUGCUGGUUAUCUAUACACAGUGCCAUUCUUGCCAACAAUUGUGUUCCCUGUUCACAUAUUGCAAAAGAAAUUGUCGUGGAUCCAGAAUUUAGACGUUGUGAGUAUUGAGUUCGGAAAUGUAUACAAAGAUUUAAUUCAUUGUUGGAUCAUCUCUGAAAGGAAAGUAUUUUCCAACAAUUAGUGUGCAAUAU
rnacentral:misc_RNA from 1 species